AGGAAAAGAAACCAACAGGGAUUGCCUCAGUAACGGCGAGUGAAGCGGCAACAGCUCAAAUUUGAAAUCUGGCUCUUUCAGGGUCCGAGUUGUAAUUUGUAGAAGAUGCUUCGGGUGUGGCUCCGGUCUAAGUUCCUUGGAACAGGACGUCAUAGAGGGUGAGAAUCCCGUAUGUGACCGGCUGCCUUCGCCUAUGUGAAGCUCUUUCGACGAGUCGAGUUGUUUGGGAAUGCAGCUCAAAAUGGGUGGUAAAUUUCAUCUAAAGCUAAAUAUUGGCCAGAGACCGAUAGCGCACAAGUAGAGUGAUCGAAAGAUGAAAAGCACUUUGGAAAGAGAGUUAAACAGUACGUGAAAUUGUUGAAAGGGAAGCGCUUGCAACCAGACUUGCACUUGGUCGAUCAUCCGAGGUUCUCCCCGGUGCACUCGAUCUCGUUCAGGCCAGCAUCGGUUCAGGUGGUGGGAUAAAGGCCUUGGGAAUGUAGCUUCUUUCGGGGAGUGUUAUAGCCCUCGGUGCAAUGCCGCCUACCUGGACCGAGGACCGCGCUUCGGCUAGGAUGCUGGCGUAAUGGUUGUAAGCGACCCG
rnacentral:rRNA from 1 species